CGCUCUGUCGCCCAGACUGGAGUGCAGUGGCGCAAUCUCGGCUCACUGCAAGCUCUGUCUUCCGGGUUCAUGCCAUUCUCCUGCCUCAGCCUCCUGAGUAGCUGGGACUACAGGCGCCCGCCAUUACGCCCGGCUAAUUUUAUUUUAUUUUAUUUUUAGUAGAGACAGGGUUUCACUGUGUUAGCCAGGAUGGUCUGUGUCUCCUGACCUCGUGAUCCACCCGCCUCGGCCUCCCAAAGUGCUGGGAUUACAAAAUGCGUGAGCCACCACGCCCGGCUGAUGGUUUUAUUAAUAUAAGGGACUUUAACCCUUUGCUCAGGACUUCUACUUGCUGCUGCCAUGUGAAGAAGGACAUAUUUGCUUCCCCUUUCACCAUGAUUGAUCCCAUCCAGAAUACAUUACCUUUAGUCAUCAUGUCUCCUGUGGCUCUUCUUGGCUGUGACAGUUUCUCAGCUUUCCCAGUUUUAAUGAACUUGCCAUUUUCAUCAGAUUGUACCAAGACCUACUAUCAAUAUGACUUAUGACUAGUGGUGCUGACCUUGAUCACCUGGCUGAGGUAGUUCUUGUCAGGCUUCUCCACUGUCGAGUUGCUCUCCCCAUCCCCCUUUUCCAUAUUGUACUCUUUGAAAGAAAGUCACUAUAUGCAGCCCUUCCUUAAAAAUAUUAAAAUGAACUAGCUUAAUUAAGUUCUUUCUUACAUUUAGGUGUAAAUACCUCUGAGGUUUUUUUCUUUUAAAAAAUGAUUAUCUAUGUAAUACAUACUCACUGCACAAGACUUUAAAAAUGCAAGAAAAGUAUAAAGCAGCAGCAAAUAGAACUACCCAUAAUUCCAUCUGUCACAAGCAACCAUUUCUAGCUUUUUGUCAUAUUUCCUUCCAGUUUUUUUUCUUCUGCAUAAAAUAACUAUUUUUAUUUCUAUUUAUUUAUUUUUUUGAGACAGAGUUUCACUCUGUCACCAGGCUGGAGUGCCGUGGCACAAUCUCGGUUCUCUACAACCUCCACCUCCCAGGUUCAAGGGAUUCUCCUGCCUCAGCCUCCUGAGUAGCUGGGACUACAGGCGUGCACCACCAUGCCCAGCUAAUUUUUGUAUUUUUAGUAGAGACGGGGUUUCACCAUGUUGGCCAGGAUGGUCUUGAUCUCUUGACCUUGUGAUCCACCCGCCUCGGCCUCCCAAAGUGCUGGGAUUACAGGCAUGAGCCAUCGCGCCUGGCCAAAAUAACUAUUUUUAAAUAGCACUUGCUUGAAAUUAUUUCAUAGGUGGUAAAAAUAUUUUAUCUUUGAAUAUGGCAAAGAAGAUGGAUUCAUAUAAAACCAGAGCAGAUCUUGGUGGUACUUCAAGAUAUAAACUACCAACCCAAUAGAUAAUUUCUGAAAAUAACAUUUUAGAGUCUCUUCCUCUAUUUUUGAGAAGCUUGAAUAUUUACAAAUACAGCAUUCACUGUGAGACUUCUUGUUUCUUUUCCUUUCUAAGACUUUUAACUUGUUGUUUAUUUUACUAUUACAUGAAACACAUUUUAUUUUAAUUUUUAAAGUUUUAGUGUUUUUUGAGACAAGGUCUCAUUCUGUUGCCCAGUUUGGAGUGCAGUGGCAUGAACAUGGCUCACUGCAGCCUCAACUUUUUGGGCUCAAGUAAUCCUCUAGCUUCAGCUUCACGAGUAGCUGGGACUACAGGUAUACACCACCACACCUACCUAAUUUAUUCUUACAGUUUUUAGAGACGGGGGUCUCGCUGUGUUGCCCAGGCUGGUCUUGAACUCCUGGGCUCAAGCAAUCUUCCUGCCUCAGCCUCCCAAAGUGCUGGGAUUACAGGGAUGAGUCACCAUACCCAGCCUUAUUUAAAUAAGGUUUGAGGAAACUUGGGUAGCUGGUUAAAACUCUGGCAAUGAUCUAGGUUUCAAAUCAUCAAAUUCCUUUUUGCAUGGUGUAUAGACUCAUGACAACUCUUAUUUUUUUAAAGACUUUAUUUUGUACAUGCUUCUUAUUAAAAAAUUAAUACAGAAAAGUACAAAGUAAAAUCCCAAAAUUCUAUCACCUAAAAAAACCAUUAUUAACAUUAUUCCACAAACCUUCCCUUUGCAUAUAUACACAGAGAGAUAAAUUUACACAAAAGGCUCACACAUACCAUACAUAGUUACUAAAUGAGGAUGAAGCAAAAUGAAGAAAUUGAAGAAAAUGAAGCUGAAACAAAAUGAAGGAAUUACCAAAUUUUAGCUAAAUGUUCUUUUGCAAGACACUUUAGUUCCUAACAAUCCCUUUGAAGUUUUGAAAAAAGAUUAUGAAAAGCAUUAAGAGUUUGAAAGUCUACAUAAUUAACUUUUUUUUUUUUUUUUUUUUGAGACAGGGUCUUGCUCUGUUGCCCAUGCUGGAGUGCCUUGGUGUGAUCAUGGCUCACUGCAGCCUUGACCUCCCAGGCUCAACUGGUCCUCCCACUUCAGCCUCCGAAGUAGCUGGGACCACAGAUGUGUGUCACCAAGCCCGGCUAAUUUUUUAAAAUUCUUUUGUAGAGACAGGAUCUUCCAGUGUUGCCCAGGCUGGUCUUGAACUCCUGGAGGCUGGUCUUGAACUCCUGGGCUCAAAAACAAUCCUCCUACCUCAGGCUUCCAAAGUGCCAGGAUUACAGGUGUGAGCCACCGUGGCUGGCUGGAAAACUCUUCUAAUAGUGGCUGGCAUGUAGUAAGUGCUUAUAGUAAAUGUAAGCCAAUGCUAUUAUAGAGGAAUAAUGGUGAGCAUCUGGGCCCACGUAUGAUAUUGAAAUCUGUCACUCACAAAAUAAUCUCUUUGUCUCUCAUUCAUCUCAGAAUAAUUUUCCUGUUAAAUCUACCAGCUCCUGAGGGGCCCUGAGGGUAUAACCAAUGAGUAUGUGGGCACCAAUGUAAUGAAUGUGUGAAUAGGUGAUUCUGUCAUCUGUUUAUAAGAAUGACCAGAAUACAAAAUUCUAGCCUUUUUACAAUCCUAAACAUAUACUAUGUGCUACCAAUAACAGCAACAAUCACCAUCAUGCAUGUCACUUACAUGUACACACUAACAUAAAGAACUUUAUAUCUCUGCUUUAAAAUCCUCUUUAAAAGUAAACUAUUAGCCUGGGUAACAUGGUGAGACCUUGUCAAUGAAAUAAAAAAAUUAGCCAGGCACCUGUAGGCCCAGCUGCUCUG
rnacentral:lncRNA from 10 species